rnacentral:rRNA from 1 species
AACGAACGCUGGCGGCAGGCCUAACACAUGCAAGUCGAACGUGAAGCCACCUUCGGGUGGUGGAAAGUGGCAGACGGGUGAGUAACGCGUGGGAACGUGCCUUUCGGUUCGGGAUAACCCAGGGAAACUUGGGCUAAUACCGGAUACGCCCUCCGGGGGAAAGAUUCAUUGCCGAAAGAUCGGCCCGCGUCGGAUUAGCUAGUUGGUGGGGUAAAAGCCUACCAAGGCGACGAUCCGUAGCUGGUCUGAGAGGAUGACCAGCCACACUGGGACUGAGACACGGCCCAGACUCCUACGGGAGGCAGCAGUGGGGAAUAUUGGACAAUGGGCGCAAGCCUGAUCCAGCCAUGCCGCGUGGGUGAAGAAGGCCCUAGGGUUGUAAACCCCUUUCAGCGGGGAAGAUAAUGACGGUACCCGCAGAAGAAGCCCCGGCUAACUCCGUGCCAGCCGCCGCCGUAAAAC